ensembl:lncRNA
CUCCCUUCACUUCAGACCUGAAAACACUAAGAAAGGACGGUGUUACCCCGCCUGAUGUGGACUCUACGAGACCCUUAGAGCUUCUUCUUUACCUUAGACGCGGUCCUGUCCUGAUCUGGGGUGGUUAGGAGUGUUAAAAAUCCAGUUGAAAUGGAGCCGGGAAGACGACGGGCUCCGGCCGAGCUGUGAACAUUGGAGAGUAGGAAGGAGAGGAGGCGCUGCAGUUUUACUCGGGGCCGACGGGCGGCGCUAUACAGCGCGUGGACAUAAGCGUCUACCGCCUUGGAUGGUCCCACAUAACCUUUAAACCAACGUGGAAUUGUAUCACCUCACGAUAUGCUCCACCUGAGUUGGAUUUAAAAACCUACCACCGUGUCUGUGAAGAAGACAUCAGCGGCGUGUCGAGAACGAGGGGAUGUUGUGGCGUCGCGAGGAAAUUUUGACAUGUUGUUGUUGUGAGGGCUCCAUGGUGAGAGCAAUCAGCUCACGGAAACUUUUGAGCGUGGGUGAGAAGUUUGGCUGGAAUUCCACUGCAGGUUCAGCCGCUUUCUGUACAUACGAGACUGUUGAUGUCCUGAAGUGCGACACUGAGGACUUGCUCAAGUGUAAGAGAUCCGUCACUGAGGCUUUUUAUGGAGACCCUGUUUGAAUAGGAGCUUGUGUGAACUUACGAAUGCAUGCCUGAUGUCAGAGGGAGGAACAGCACACCAGGAUCUACAUUUAUGACACAAUACUGAGCUUAUUGACACUGGCCAGGAGCCUCAGAAUGGUUGAAAUGAAAUACUAGCUUACUAGUACUAGGAAAACUGGAAAGUAUAUGCAGUAUACCAAUGUUUCCAAGCCAUCUUUGUCUUAUGUACUCCCAUAGCCCCAUCAGCAGGGCUUCAAAAAUGCAUUCUUUUUAACUUAUGUUUUGCUGUAUAUCAUUUAGGAUUUUCACGAAUAUUAUUAAAACGGCAACUAUUACAACAAUAGUUGUUUAAAUUGUUUUUGUUGAAAUAUAGUUUUAAACCACAACAAAUUAAAUGUGAAAAUUAUAUGGGUCUAAGAUGAAAAGUUGUUGUUUUUUUUUGUUUUGUUUUUUUUGAGCAAAAAAAAACAAACAACUCAUACCCCCCCCACCCCCUUGAUUUACAGAAGACACCCACUAAGAAUCAGUUUUUAAUCUUUUAAAAUAUAAUCAAAUUUAGUAUGAUCCCUUUUUCUUUUAAAUAAGAUUAUAUUAUAUUAUAUUAUAUUAUAUUAUAUUAUAUUAUAUUAUAUUAUAUUAUAUUAUAUUAUAUUAUAUUAUAUUAUAUUAUAUUAUAUUAUAUUAUAUUAUAUUAUAAAUAUAAGUCCAGCUCAGAAUAAAAUGUUGUUUCAUUUUUACA